GUGUAACAAGACAGGCUUGUCCCAGCCAACACUGUGUCCCACAGGACACUACUGUCCUCCGCGGUCCUCUGUUGCUCGACCCUGUCCGCCAGGCUCUUACUCUGACCAGCCUGGUGGCGACGCUGUGCACCACUGUCGGCCAUGCGAGGCUGGUUGGUUCUGCAGCAGAGCCGGUCUCUCUGAACCUCAGGGUCUCUGUGACCCGGGACACUACUGCACCUCUGGAGCCUCCACUGCCUCUCCAGUGGCCGUGGCCUCUGGAGGGGUAUGUUCUGCAGGCUACGUCUGUCCACGAGGGACCAUGUACCCC